rnacentral:lncRNA from 1 species
UUGGUCUACAUCUUUUGUGAUACGUAUUUUGUACUUCGAGGGCUAUAUAGCCCUAGAUAGGCACUACAUCGUCAAUCUUGAAGAUUGAUGGCUAUCGAUGGAUGGUUAUUGCUUGUCUCUCACACAUCUUAUGUAUGUUGGCAUGAAGUAUGACUGUUCUGAUUUUUAAGACGAAUGACGGUCAUCGAUAUUUGAGAUGGAUGAUGCGGUGACUAUCCUAGAUCAUACAAUUAUUGCAUCCUACUACAGGCCCUCUCAAUUGGGUUAAUAGGAUCAAGUUGGUCCAUGGACCAAGGUCCUGAUCUUGACUAGUCCGACGAACCAAUCCUCACCACAAUCCUACCUCUUAAAAUGGUGCAUUAGGAUGCUAGUCUCG